rnacentral:rRNA from 1 species
GAUGAACGCUGGCGGCGUGCUUAACACAUGCAAGUCGAACGGUGAAGGCGGAGCUUGCUCUGCUGGAUCAGUGGCGAACGGGUGAGUAACACGUGAGCAAUCUGCCCCUGACUCUGGGAUAAGCGCUGGAAACGGCGUCUAAUACUGGAUACGAGCUGCGAAGGCAUCUUCAGCAGCUGGAAAGAAUUUCGGUCAGGGAUGAGCUCGCGGCCUAUCAGCUUGUUGGUGAGGUAAUGGCUCACCAAGGCGUGGACGGGUAGCCGGCCUGAGAGGGUGACCGGCCACACUGGGACUGAGACACGGCCCAGACUCCUACGGGAGGCAGCAGUGGGGAAUAUUGCACAAUGGGCGAAAGCCUGAUGCAGCAACGCCGCGUGAGGGACGACGGCCUUCGGGUUGUAAACCUCUUUUAGCAGGGAAGAAGCGAAAGUGACGGUACCUGCAGAAAAAGCGCCGGCUAACUACGUG